GAGUUCCAUACGUUACGAAUUUGUGAUAAUUUAUUACCCGAUUACUUAUUUACAAUGUGUAUUUGAAUGUGGCACACAAAUAUUUGAUCUAACAAAAUUCCAAGUUUUACCAAAUUGUUUACUUACUUCGUUAUUCGUUUGUUUUUGACAACAUCACUCAAAACCCAUGAAUUAUCUGAUUUGUACAAAUACACAUAAGCAAGUAAAACAAAAUAUGAUAAACUUAAACUCUUAAAGAUAUUUCAAACCGAAAAUGCAAUCCAUUCCUCUCAGCGUUCCGCAGCACUUGCCGAAAUUAUUUGCAAGGAUGACAAAAUCCAUGAGAAGCAUCCCACCUUGAUUGCUAAAUUAACCUCGAGUAACACUAACGAGAUUGGAAGAUCAAAUUUGGAGAAAAAAAUAUUGGGAUCGUUGAAGAUUUGGGAAAGUUCCUCCAGCGAGAAGCGGCAACUUGAGGAACUCAACAAAAUUUUGCUGGAGUCUGGUUUAGCCACAUCCAUUCCAAAUAUCCAAAAGCAUUAUUCCGGAGUAAGAUUUGUUGCAGAUUCUGAUCCACAAACGAAUUAAAUAUUGCCAUUAAGUCGGAUUUUAAAAUAAAUCAUUUUGGCUAUUUUAUAAUUCCAUGCUAAACUAUGAAUUUUUCGCGAUUAAAUUAAUCCAUGAAACCAUUAGUCAAACCAAGAAUAAACACACUGUAUUUAAGAAUGAAGUAAAUUGUUCGACUAUUAGUUUUUAAAGUUGAAAUACGAUUUUUCCAAUUAUAUGAUAAAAGUUAGAAUCUAACGGGGAAUCGAACCCACGCCUCUUGACUGACGCUCUAACCACUGGGCUAUAGAAACGAUUCCUACCAUAUAUUGCGAUUUUAACUCGUAUUUCUUUUUGCAAGUCUUUUCUGUGAAUUUCUACUUUCCUUCUGGUUGGUAGGUAACCCAACUGUUUACUGAAUACCAGGGAAAGUUCACUUUCGACUUUUGCGAUGGAGAGGUCAUUCUAAAGUCUGCUAGGACCAGGAUAAUUUAAGAAAUAAAUUAAAUACACUGUAUUUACUUAAAAAAUAAAAUCAUACUGAAGA